rnacentral:rRNA from 1 species
CAGCAGCCGCGGGAAUACGUAGGUGGCAAGCGUCGUCCGGAAUUAUUGGGCGUAAAGCGCGCGCAGGUGGUUUAAUAAGUCUGAUGUGAAAGCCCACGGCUCAACCGUGGAGGGUCAUUGGAAACUGUUAAACUUGAGUGCAGGAGAGAAAAGUGGAAUUCCUAGUGUAGCGGUGAAAUGCGUAGAGAUUAGGAGGAACACCAGUGGCGAAGGCGGCUUUUUGGCCCGUAACUGACACUGAGGCGCGAAAGCGUGGGGAGCAAACAGGAUUAGAUACCCCUGUAGUCCCUGUCUCUUAUAC